AUGAGAUUGACUAGGUGAUAAUAUUGCAGGGAUUUUUUUUUUUAAUUAUUGCUUUAGAAUGCAAUAGGUUUUGUCACAUUUAAGGCUGGAAGUUAAUUUACCUAUCUUAAGGAAUGUGAGAGUGGACAGCUUUCUAUGUUCUUAUUCAGACCUAGGUGCUGAAGAACUUUUUUUUCUUCUUUUCAGAUAUUGAAAAAUAUCACUUGGUAUGCUGAGCGUGUUUUAACAGAGAUCUCACUUGGUAGCCUCCUGAUACUAGUUGUGAUAAGAACCAUCCAGUACAACAUGACACAGACAAGGGACAAAUAUCUUCAUACAAAUUGUCUGGCCGCCUUAACAAAUAUGUCAGUGCAGUUCCGCUCUCUUCAUCAGUAUGCUGCUCAGAGGAUCAUCAGGUAAAUAUAAAACUUCUGAAAUGGAUUUCUCUUUAAACUCAUCAUUGGUAAAACUCAGGAGCAGACAAACUUGAAUUUUAUAUGCCGUUAAAAGAUACUGAUGAACUAAAUAGCUGAAAUGGUAUCUGAGUAGCUAGAUAAUAUAGGAAUAAAAAAUUUUUGGAUCUUUCCUGAAUGUACAAAAAUAAUUAGUUUCUCUAUUGCAGAAAUUUUUUACUUCUGAUUCUCAUAACAAAAUAGCACAGUAGCUGCUUUUAAACUAAAAGAUUUUCAAGGAUUUGUGUAAGUUGUGCAUUUUUAGUCACGUAUCACGUUAUAAAAAUGCACUGUUGUCUGUCAAGUACUAUGCAGACUGGAUUUUCAACUUACUUUACUUCUUCCUACACAUUUGACAAAAGAUUUAUUUCUUAAGUCAGAUGUAAUGAUUAUUUUGUGAUGGGGUGCUGCAAAUAUAGGCAAUAAACCCUGCACUGAUACUUUUUGUGAUAAAGU